rnacentral:rRNA from 1 species
AUUGAACGCUGGCGGCAGGCCUAACACAUGCAAGUCGAGCGGACGAAGGGAGCUUGCUCCUGGAUUCAGCGGCGGACGGGUGAGUAAUGCCUAGGAAUCUGCCUGGUAGUGGGGGAUAACGUCCGGAAACGGGCGCUAAUACCGCAUACGUCCUGAGGUAGAAAGGGGGGGAUCUUCGGACCUCACGCUAUCAGAUGAGCCUAGGUCGGAUUAGCUAGUUGGUGUGGUAAAGGCUUACCAAGGCGACGAUCCGUAACUGGUCUGAGAGGAUGACCAGUCACACUGGAACUGAGACACGGUCCAGACUCCUACGGGAGGCAGCAGUGGGGAAUAUUGGACAAUGGGCGAAAGCCUGAUCCAGCCAUGCCGCGUGUGUGAAGAAGGUCUUCGGAUUGUAAAGCACUUUAAGUUGGGAGGAAGGGCAGUAAGUUAAUACCUUGCUGUUUUGACGUUACCAACAGAAUAAGCACCGGCUAACUUCGUG